rnacentral:siRNA from 1 species
CUUCAAAGCCUUGUGCAAUCAC